AGCGAACGCUGGCGGCAGGCCUAACACAUGCAAGUCGAACGAAGUCUUCGGACUUAGUGGCGGACGGGUGAGUAACACGUGGGAACGUGCCUUUAGGUUCGGAAUAACUCAGGGAAACUUGUGCUAAUACCGAAUGUGCCCUUCGGGGGAAAGAUUUAUCGCCUUUAGAGCGGCCCGCGUCUGAUUAGCUAGUUGGUGAGGUAAAGGCUCACCAAGGCUACGAUCAGUAGCUGGUCUGAGAGGAUGACCAGCCACAUUGGGACUGAGGCACGGCCCAAACUCCUACGGGAGGCAGCAGUGGGGAAUCUUGCGCAAUGGGCGAAAGCCUGACGCAGCCAUGCCGCGUGGAUGAUGAAGGUCUUAGGAUUGUAAAAUCCUUUCACCGGUGAAGAUAAUGACUGUAGCCGGAGAAGAAGCCCCGGCUACCUUCGUGCCAGCCGCCGCCGUAAUAC
rnacentral:rRNA from 1 species